AUGAACGCUGGCGGCGUGCCUAAUACAUGCAAGUCGAGCGAACAGACGAGGAGCUUGCUCCUCUGACGUUAGCGGCGGACGGGUGAGUAACACGUGGAUAACCUACCUAUAAGACUGGGAUAACUUCGGGAAACCGGAGCUAAUACCGGAUAAUAUAUUGAACCGCAUGGUUCGAUAGUGAAAGACGGUUUUGCUGUCACUUAUAGAUGGAUCCGCGCCGCAUUAGCUAGUUGGUAAGGUAACGGCUUACCAAGGCAACGAUGCGUAGCCGACCUGAGAGGGUGAUCGGCCACACUGGAACUGAGACACGGUCCAGACUCCUACGGGAGGCAGCAGUAGGGAAUCUUCCGCAAAGGGCGAAAGCCUGACGGAGCAACGCCGCGUGAGUGAUGAAGGUCUUCGGAUCGUAAAACUCUGUUAUUAGGGAAGAACAAAUGUGUAAGUAACUAUGCACGUCUUGACGGUACCUAAUCAGAAAGCCACGGCUAACUACGUG
rnacentral:rRNA from 1 species